rnacentral:lncRNA from 1 species
AUUUUAUUUCAUAAAAAUGUUAACAAUGAUAUAAAUAGGAGGUAGUCCUGUAAACAUUAAAACAAAGAAACAUAUAAAGUAUAAUUGGAGACUUUCCAGAGUAGUUAUUUUCACAAUUUUCAUGUAUAAACCUGUUGCAUGGGUUUGAAUGUUCUGCAUGAAACUAUAAAUGCACACUUCUCAAUAAAAUUGGAAUUUUCCAAAAACUACUAUAAAUGCAGAAACUAUGAUUCAUUUAUUACUGAAAAACACAAAAUGUGAAAUCUAUUUAGUGCAAUUUAAGGUGGUACCCAACACUUUAACAAAAAUUUAUUUGGCUCGUUUAAUUUUGAUAAAAUUUUGACAAAGUAUUUACUUUGACCCUUUAACAAAAAUAUAAAAAUUUCAAAAAUUUUGAACCAACCGUUUUGUCAGAAAAAUUAUACUGGUUAUAUAGCAGUUUGACAAACACCAAUUUUGAUCUUUGUGAAGCUUAUUAUUCCCUUUACAACACAACGUAAUUAAAACGUUUAGCUGACUUUACAGAGUUAUCUCCCUGUAGUGAUACAUGUAGGUACCACCUUAAAAAAAAUUGUGUAGGAUAAUAACUAAUGAAAUGAUGAAUCUAAGUUUAUAUAUCAUUGUGUAUUUGAUAUUGUUGCAUUGAUUUCUGAAUUUACAGUACUGUAAUUGGAUAUAUUUCAUGCAAAUGCAAAUUCAGUGAAAAAUAGCCUCUACACGGGAAUUCCUACAUCUAAAGCUUUCAAAUCUCUACAUAGUCUUUAUUGUAAGGAUUUCGUAAUCUAACAUCUUAAGGUCUCUGUAUCAUAGUCGAAAUAGUGGUAUUUUGUUUCCUUUUCUUUUUUAAAAUCAAACAAUUUCAUAAUUUGAGAUAUUAUAAAUGUUUCUGAGUAAGAAAA